CAUAGUGUAGCUUAAUACCAAAGCAUCUGGCCUACACCCAGAAGAUUUCACAAAAAGUGAACACUCUGA
rnacentral:tRNA from 1 species